rnacentral:lncRNA from 1 species
UGGUUAUACGUAGAAGUUCCAGUGGCAGGGGGUCAGUGUAAAACGGCCUUCUGUCCGCAACGUGUCGAACGUCGUUCCUAUAAGCUCCGUCUGUUCACCGUGGUGUCACUCUUGUUCGUUUACAAACACGUUUCGCAAAUCGAAACGGGUGAGAUCGUUUCGUCGUUAGGUAACACGGACAGUGUGUCGAUCGUCGAAACUUCGUCGUGGCCAUAGUCGAUAAAACACGCUGACUCGCGUUGUACGAGGAUAAAAGAUUAUCGUGCUCGUUAAUGGCUGCCAGGGUCGUCGGCUAGAGGCCGUUUAGCGAAGUUUCGAGCUGCCAGCGCGAUAACACAGCCCGUACCCGAUGAGUGUUAGAUCGGCAGGCGGACACAUGGUGAAGCAGAGGAGGUUCAUCGGCAAUACGAACAACAAGAUGAUCAACAUACGAGAAUAUUUAUAGGUUUUUUUAGAUUUCAGAGGACGAGAGGAGAAAAAGGGGUAGUGGAGAUACGCUAUGGUCACACCUCGCGACGACCGCGCGACGACCUGAUUUCCCUGAUUCUUUUUUUUUACGAGAUGUUUGAUUUUCACGCACAGAUCCAAUUUAUCCAAUGUUCACAGGAAGGACGAAUUUGAAAUUGAUAUUGGCGUGGAAAAAUACGUGGAGAAAAAUAGGGAAACAGAGAGGGAAACAUGAUUUCUCCUUAACGACGCACUGUCGCGGAAACGCACCGAUCAGAAAUUGAUAGCGUUGUAUCGUUGUUCCACGUAUCCAGCGAGUUGGCGUUUCGUUUAGACAGGUUUUUCUUAGGUUUACAGGGAUUCUUCUAGUAUUGGUGAAAAGAGAUAGAGGAUAAGCCAAAGCGAACCAGUGAUAUUUUUUUAUGCAGUAUUUUUCUUCCAUUAUUACGAGCAAAUAAAGCGAGCAGAAGAGAGAAAGAAGGAGAAACGAGGGUCGUAUUUUGAUGAAAAAUAUAAAAUAAGGACAAAAGAAUUGAUAUAUAUAUAUAUACAUACAUAUAUAUUGGACGAAUUUACGGAUUUAUAAACACACAGAGAGAGAUUCUUUUUUUCUUUUUUAACUUGUUUCUACUCGACUCGAGAGCCGACAUCGGCAGGUUUUCUUCAAAAUGAGUUGUUAAUUAAGAAUGCGCAAUGACACGGCGAAUUUGUCAGUGGACAGCAAACCCGCGCGAGAAGGCGCAGGGUAUGGAAAUGGAACCCCAAAAAACAAACUCUCACCGCCAG